CCGCACAAGUAGCGGAGCAUGUGGUUUAAUUCGAAGCAACGCGAAGAACCUUACCUAAGCUUGACAUCCCAAUGACAUCUCCUUAAUCGGAGAGUUCCCUUCGGGGACGUUGGUGACAGGUGGUGCAUGGUUGUCGUCAGCUCGUGUCGUGAGAUGUUGGGUUAAGUCCCGCAACGAGCGCAACCCUUGUCUUUAGUUGCCAUCAUUAAGUUGGGCACUCUAGAGAGACUGCCAGGGAUAACCUGGAGGAAGGUGGGGAUGACGUCAA
rnacentral:rRNA from 1 species